AAUACCGCAUACGAUCUCUGGAUGAAAGCGGGGGACCGAAAGGCCUCGCGCUCAAGGGGCGGCCGAUGGCAGAUUAGCUAGUUGGUGGGGUAAGGGCCUACCAAGGCGACGAUCUGUAGCUGGUCUGAGAGGACGACCAGCCACACUGGGACUGAGACACGGCCCAGACUCCUACGGGAGGCAGCAGUGGGGAAUUUUGGACAAUGGGGGCAACCCUGAUCCAGCAAUGCCGCGUGUGUGAAGAAGGCCUUCGGGUUGUAAAGCACUUUUGUCCGGAAAGAAAACCGCUUCUCUAAUACAGAGGUGGGAUGACGGUACCGGAAGAAUAAGCACCGGCUAACUACGUGCCAGCAGCCGCGGUAAUACGUAGGGUGCGAGCGUUAAUCGGAAUUACUGGGCGUAAAGCGUGCGCAGGCGGUUCGCUAAGACCGAUGUGAAAUCCCCGGGCUUAACCUGGGAACUGCAUUUGUGACUGGCGGGCUAGAGUAUGGC
rnacentral:rRNA from 1 species